UUAUUUACAAAUAUUUUUAUUUAUCUAUAUAUAUAUUAUUUAUUUAUUAUUGUUAAUUUGUGGGUGAUUCUAUUCCUCACCAACUGCUGCAGUUGGAACUAUAUUUGGACAUUGUGCAGUUGCAACCGCAGUAGUUGAACUACAUUUAGACCUUGUGCAGUUGCAACCACAGCAGUUGAACUCAACUGCAUUAAACCAAACACAGGAAUUGAAAUUGCAUGCAUUUGUAACUGCAGUGCAGUUGUAAAUGUGUACAACCAAACAGCCCCUUAUUGUGUUAGCAUUUAUAGUAGA
rnacentral:lncRNA from 1 species